AGUUUAUUCAGUGGUCACCACCAAAAAGAGAACAGAGUCUGGCAGCAGUGUUGGUUUCUCCUCGAAUGGGAAGAAGGACGCCAAGCCUGACCCCAAUGAUUCCUGUAUCACAUACGCCACACUGAAACUCAGCGAGCUCUCAGAGGAAGAAGAUGGAGCGGAUGGAAAUGUUUAUGAGAAUAUUCCACACAAGUAAGAAAGAAGAAGACAGAUGAGAGGCGGGUCAUUCGAUUUUUAUAGACUGUCUGGUGAAGAGGUACAAUGUAACUCCUGUGUACAGAUCCCAAACUUGUGAACUUUGCGAUGGAAACCACGUUUCACACAUUGUUCUGCUCUACUCAUUGUGAAGCUAAUUUCAUGUUGUUGCAUCUGUUGGUCUGUUCUGGACAUUGCAGGCCGUUAGUUUUGUAAAUUCAAAACUAUUUCAGCAGCUGGUGGUCUUUGGAAAUUUAAUACCUGCCUCUCCUUCCCUCUCAUGUACAUGUUUGAGGAUUGAGCUUUUCAGUUGGUCCAUGUUUAAGGGGAGGAAGACAUCAUCUGCCACCUUGUGCGCAUGGAACAGGAAUCUCCCCUAUUCUGACCAACUUUGAACAGGAAUUGCCAGAAGGAUCUGACAGUUGGGAGAUAUAUAACAGGAGAAACCAGCCAAUUUCAAUGGUUACAUUCCAGGGCGAAAGAGACCUGGGGUGUGGGGUUGGAAGGAGCAACUUCUGGCUCCACAGAAGGAACACACACUGAGCUGCAAGCUACUGAACAAACUGGAUAGAAAAGGCAUGGAUGAAACAGAGUCUAUACGGAAAAGACGAGAUCUCCCAAAGAACCAAAACCCCUGCUGGACACUUCAACUCGGCUUUCUGAGAUUCCAAAACCCAUUGUGGGAACGGGAACGUAGGGGGUUUCUCUCCGCUGCAGGUAUUUUGGAAACGCCACAUUGUCAGGAUGGGGGAUCACACACCUCCAGAGUGGCAGGCUUGACCUUUGAAUGGGGAAGCGAUGGCCUCAUGGGAUUAUCGCGGAACUGUUAAUCCAGAUGUUCCAGUGAUGUACUGGGGACCCGGGUUCAAAUCCUGCAACACAGAUUGUGGAAUUUAAAUUCAUCAAAAUCCUGAAUCUGAGAGUCUGAUGGUGACUGUGAAUCAAUUGUUGGAAAACCCCAUGUGGUUCACUCACGUGGUUCAGGGAAGGAAACUGCUAUCCUUACCUGGCCUGGCCUUCAUGUGACUCCAGACCCACAGCAAAGUGGUUGACUUUUAUCAGCCCCCUGGACAGCGAAGGAUGGGCAACAAAUGUUGGCCUGGCUAGCAAUGCCCUCAUCCCAUGAAUUAAAAAUUGUUGGCUUUUUAGUCCCGACAUACAGACACUCUCGCUGCAGCACAAAAGGGUUUGGGUUGAUGUAAGUACAGGCUUGGUAGAAGAUGUUAAGAUUUUAACAUCGACGCCGUCUGGAUCUGACAAUUGCUGGCCACCAAGAAAGGAGCAGCUCAGGUCCGAUUGCAAACUGGUGAAUACCAUCAGGGACAACACCAGCGCGAGGGCCAAAGGGUCUGGUCAAUAGGCACCAGGUACCUUUGAAUGGAACAGCAGGACUGUGCUGAUGAAUUGUUCACAUUCGAGCCAGUAAGGAUGGUGACUGGCUUCUUGCUGUUUUUUAAUCACGAUGACCCCUCGUUCAGGCGAAGGAUGUGGGGCAUUGCUGGUAAAGACAGCAUUUGUGCCCCUCAUCAUAGAGUCAUAGGGGCUAUUUCUGUGCUCUGUGACUCUUCGGCCUAACUCGUCCAUGCCAACCCGGUUUCCUAAACUGACCCAGCCCUGUUUACCUGUGUUUGAACCAUAUCCCUUCCAACCUUUCCUAUCCAUGUAUCUGCCAAAAUUUCUUUCAAAUAUUUAUAAUUUUACCCACCUCCGCCACUUCCCCUGACAGCUCAUUCCAUAUAUCCACCACUAUCUGUGCGAAAGAUUUGCCCCUCAGGCUCCUUCUAAAUCUUUCCCUUCUCACCUUAAACCG